UACAGAGGUGGCAAGCGUUGUUCGGAAUUACUGGGCAUAAAGGGCGCGUAGGCGGUUUCGUAAGUCCCGUGUGAAAGCCCCCGGCUCAACUGGGGAAUUGCACGGGAAACUGCGAGGCUUGAGUUCGGGAGAGGGAAGCGGAAUUCCGGGUGUAGCGGUGAAAUGCGUAGAUAUCCGGAGGAACACCGGUGGCGAAGGCGGCUUCCUGGACCGACACUGACGCUGAGGCGCGAAAGCUAGGGGAGCAAACGGG
rnacentral:rRNA from 1 species